AUAUCAAUAAGCGGAGGAAAAGAAACUAACAAGGAUUCCCCUAGUAACUGCGAGUGAAGCGGGAAGAGCUCAAAUUUAAAAUCUGGCGUGCCUCUGGUCGUCCGAGUUGUAGUCUGGAGAAGUCAAGCCAGGUAUCGUCAUUGGGUAAAGUCUCCUGGAAUGGAGUGCCGUGGAGGGUGACAGCCCCGUUCAUACCUAAUGCACGAGAUCGUACGGCCGGCUUUCAAUGAGUCGAGUUGCUUGGGAUUGCAGCUCUAAGCGGGUGGUAAAUUCCAUCUAAAGCUAAAUAUUGGUGGGAGACCGAUAGCGCACAAGUA
rnacentral:rRNA from 1 species